CCGACAUAUUAUUUGCAGAAAUAUUGCAGCUUCUCUGCAAACAAAUGAGCCAAAAGGAAGUGGAGGUCUUAUGGAGGGACUCUAAACUGAGCUGGGCUGAUUUUCUUCCUGAAACCGUGGAUGGGAACAACUUCAUUACUGAGCAGCCCUGAUGAAGUCUGAUGACCUGAAGAGGGUGGAGCUGAGACUUCAGACAGCAGACGGAC